UUUCCGUAGGUGAACCUGCGGAAGGAUCAUUAUUGUAUAGCCGAGGUGCGAGGGCUGUCGCUGACCCGAAAGGUCGUGCACGCCCGAGUGCCCUCACACACAUCCAUCUCACCCCUAUGUGCACCACCGCGUGGGACCCCCUUUGGCUUGUUCGGAGGGGGGCUUACGUUUUCACACAAACUUUGUAUGCAGUGUAGAAUGUAUUUUUUGUUUUUGCGAUCACGCAAUCAAUACAACUUUCAACAACGGAUCUCUUGGCUCUC
rnacentral:misc_RNA from 1 species